CAGUAGCCGCGGGAAUACGGAGGGAGCUAGCGUUGUUCGGAAUUACUGGGCGUAAAGCGCACGUAGGCGGCUUUGUAAGUUAGAGGUGAAAGCCUGGGGCUCAACUCCAGAAUUGCCUUUAAGACUGCAUCGCUUGAAUCAUGGAGAGGCGGGUGGAAUUCCGAGUGUAGAGGUGAAAUUCGUAGAUAUUCGGAAGAACACCAGUGGCGAAGGCGGCCCGCUGGACAUGUAUUGACGCUGAGGUGCGAAAGCGUGGGGAGCAAACAGGAUUAGAUACCCCAGUAGUCCCUGUCUCUUAUAC
rnacentral:rRNA from 1 species